CUGUCCAGCACAGAAAUGUAGGUUGACUUAGCAUGCAUGAUUUCAGUGAUUCUAGAGGUCUGCCUUCCUGCUUAGUCAGACCUGGGUUUGAUGUGUCAGAGGAGUUUGAGGUGACUGCUUCUCCUCCAACUGGGCUGCCUCUCCGAAUAGGCCACCUAAUCACUACUGAGUACAGGCCUUAGGACCUUCCUCCACCUCACAGUAUGGCUGUUGACUGGGACAGUCACAAGCAAGCCUUCUCAGGACAAGUGGCUGCUGAGAAAAGAACCUGCCAUCCGAUUGGACAUUUCCUACAUGUUCUUAAUAGAGGCUUACUCUUCCCCCUGUAAACUAAUAUGCCAAGGGCUGGAGAUAGUUCAGUAGCCAAAUACUUCCUUAGCAAACUCAACCAGAGAGGGUGGUUAUGUUGCUUCCUUGUCUUUUCUGUCUGACUUAUGUUUAUUAUGUUAUAAAGCUGUCAGAAGUAAAGCUCAAAGAGAUGCACACUCAGUGACAACUGCCACCGCCUUUCCUCCUGUUGAUGGCUCUUUGGACUGUUCAUCAAUUGUACCUCAAUGGUUCACUGGGCCUGGGUCCACUGACUUACAUGCUGUUCUUUCCCUCAGAGGUCACUGUUCCUAUAAGGAGAAAGUUGAGAGGCACACCUGCAGGAACAUAAUGCGGUCUGGAGUGUGCCCCAUCACCACCAGAUACCCCAACCCUGCCCCUCCCAGUUUUACUGAUGGGCUCCUGCGCUGGCAGCCUAUCAUGUGCUUCAGUGCCUCUCUGCCCUGCCAGAUCUCACGUAUCUCAGCAAAGCUGAAGCUGGUGUUGAGGAGUGCAUAGUAAAGCCACAUCAUCAUUAGUGUCAGGGUGGGUGGGUGUGCUAUGGUUGUGCAGGAGUAUGACACUGUAGGUAAUGUGUUAGUGUCUUUGUAUAAGUGUUGCAGUUCUUCUCUUAGCCUGGCUAGCUAGCGAGUUAUUAAGUCUGGGCUAUUAACAAAAAUUUAAGGGCACAACAACUGAGCAGUAUUAAUCUAUUUUUAUCCUUUGUGCUAAUCUGGCUACCUCCCAGCUAAAAUCACCAAGAUACUUGCAUUUAAUGGCUUUCUCUCCUGGACUCUCUCCCCAUGGCUAAUCCCUACUUCAUCGCUCUCUCCUACCCUGGCUAGGAGGAAGUCCAUCCCUAUUCUCUCCUCUGCUCAAUCAUUGGCUGAUCAGCUAGCUUUACUGACCAAUCAGGGAAUAAUUGGGGAACAAUGUUAUACAACAUUGAGACAAGAGAGUCUUAGAAUAAGGAUUGCAACCAGAUAUGGGGACACAAGACUAAUAUAAGUAUAAUCUAAAUUUACACAGUACACAAUAACAUUAUGCCUACAGUAAUGUACACCAAAAUAUUCUAGGAGGUGGUGAGAAGGCUCGGCUGAUUCCAUGACAGGCUUCAAAUUGGCAGUUAAGGAGACUGGGCAAUUCCAGGCAAGUCCAGGCCUCAGGAGCUGCCCUGUCACCAGGCCUGAGGCAAGGACAGUGGGUCAGCAGGAGUUUCCAGCCCCCACACGCUGGUAAUGGAAUGUCCAUAGAGAUGGUCUCAACAGAUAACAUAGAGGUCACCUACCCUGGAAUUCCCUAAUAUGCUUUAAAUCAGGCCUGCA
rnacentral:lncRNA from 1 species